ensembl:lncRNA
CCCGCCUCCUCCAAUCAGCGGCCGGCCUGCCGGGCAGGGGUUAACCAGGGGACCCCGCGCAGGCGAAGGAGGCCGCCGCCUCGCCGGGCGGCUGAGGGCGGGCUGACGGGCGGCGCCGACGGACGCACCGCGACGCGAGGGGAGGUCUGACCCGGCUGGGCCGGAGUCCCGGAGACCCCGCAGCCGUCUUCGUAAAAUCGGCCCCCGCCCCGCGGGACCGGCCCCAGCAGAGCGGUUGGGCCGGCGCCCUGGGUCGCGGACCAACGCUGGAGGGGCCUCGCUGCCUGGGCCGGGCGCUUCCCGGAUCCGCCUCGCCGAACCCUGCGCCCGCCUAAUCCCUGAUCUCCACGAGUUUGGAUGUCUGAAGAUGUAUGAGAACCAGUGGCUUGGGGAAAAUUCAUAAAAUGAGCAAGAGCCUUGAACUUUUCCAGGGGGUAGGCAAGUAUUCAGUGAAUGGUCAAAACAGUAACUCCUUAAAAUGACACUGGAACAUCUCAAAAGAGAAGAGUUUAAGAGAAAGAACACUGGACAGAGCUGGAGCUGAGCUCCGGCCAGCUCCUCCACAGACAAACUGCUCGGGCCGCUACCUAACCUGUCAAGUUUCGCCAACCUCAUCUGUGAAGGAGUUUGGACCAGAGGAUUCCCAGAGUCUUUUCCAGGUCUAAAGGGCUAUGAUUCCAUUUUUUGAGGUAACUAUGAAAAAAUAAAAAUAAAACUAGUCAUUGAAAUUCAGGAAAAG